rnacentral:rRNA from 1 species
UUCGCCCUUAGAGUUUGAUCCUGGCUCAGGACGAACGCUGGCGGCGUGCUUAAAACAUGCAAGUCGAACGAGAUUGAGUUGGGUACUUGUACCUAAUUUAGUCUAGUGGCGGACGGGUGAGUAACGCGUGAGCAACCUGCCUAUCACAGGGGAAUAACACUUGGAAACGAGUGCUAAUACCGCAUAUGACCACAACCUAGCAUUAGGAAGGGGUGAAAGGAGCAAUCCGGUGAUAGAUGGGCUUGCGUCUCAUUAGUUAGUUGGUGGGGUAACGGCCUACCAAGACGACGAUGAGUAGCCGAUCUGAGAGGAUGAACGGCCACAUUGGAACUGAGAAACGGUCCAAACUCCUACGGGAGGCAGCAGUUAGGAAUAUUGGGCAAUGGAGGAAACUCUGACCCAGCAACGCCGCGUGAAGGAAGAAGGUUUUCGGAUUGUAAACUUCUGAUCUGUGGAAAAAAGGAAGUGAUGGUACCACAGGAGCAAGCCACGGCUAACUACGUGCCAGCAGCCGCGGUAAUACGUAGGUGGCAAGCGUUGUCCGGAAUGACUGGGCGUAAAGGGAGCGUAGGUGGUGCUUUAAGUUAAAUGUGAAAGACCGUUGCUCAACGACGGAACUGCAUUUAAUACUGGGGUACUAGAGUACAGGAGGGGUAAGCGGAAUUCCUAGUGUAGCGGUUAAAUGCGUAGAUAUUAGGAGGAACACCGGAGGCGAAGGCGGCUUACUGGACUGCAACUGACACUGAGGCUCGAAAGCGUGGGGAUCAAACAGGAUUAGAUACCCUGGUAGUCCACGCCCUAAACGAUGAAUACUAAAUGUGGGGUGGUAUCGACUCCAUCCGUAUUGAAGCAAACGCGAUAAGUAUUCCGCCUGGGGAGUACGGCCGCAAGGUUGAAACUCAAAGGAAUUGACGGGGACCCGCACAAGCAGCGGAGCAUGUUGUUUAAUUCGAAGCAACGCGAAGAACCUUACCAAGACUUGACAUACAGUAGCAUAGUAUAGAGAUAUAUGAAAUGAUAGCAAUAUCACUAUUGUACAGAUGGUGCAUGGUUGUCGUCAGCUCGUGUCGUGAGAUGUUGGGUUAAGUCUCGCAACGAGCGCAACCCUUGCGUUUAGUUACCAGCAGUAAGAUGGGGACUCUAAACGGACUGCCGUAGAUAAUACGGAGGAAGGUGGGGACGACGUCAAAUCAUCAUGCCUCUUACGUCUUGGGCUACAAACGUGCUACAAUGGCUGGCACAAAGAGAUGCGAAGCGGUAACGUGGAGCGAACCUCAAAAAACCAGUCUCAAUUCAGACUGUGGGCUGCAACCCGCCCACACGAAGCCGGAGUUGCUAGUAAUCACAAAUCAGAAUGUUGUGGUGAAUGCGUUCCCGGGUCUUGUACUCACCGCCCGUCA